rnacentral:lncRNA from 1 species
AACAGAGACAAAUCUUCGUUAUAAGUUUAUCAGAAAAUGAUGAUGUUAUCGAAUUGGGAGAAUGGGGAAAGUUGUGGGGACAGUGAUAACAGAGCCAAAUCUCUGUCUAUCCAAUUGUCUAUCAAAACAGGAACUCAACGGAUUGGAGCCUACUGGGCUUGAGAGCCCCGCUGAGGAGUCCGGAGGUUGGGACGCAACUACUGCCGCGUCCCCUCCCGGUCCCCGGCCACAUGGCGAGCGGGGCGACACCGAAGCAGCCCACGGAGCUCGAGGCGACGCUGCUGAGCCUGGUUCCCCAAAGCGGCCGCGCCACUCCCCGCUUCCCCGCCCGGCUCCGGGCCCCAGGCCCUGGGACGCCGAGCCACCGCCGGCGUUUCAGACGCAAACCCCACCGCGACCCUGCAGCAGCCUGCCCCGCCUGGCCGCCAGAGGCACCUUCCAACUCCGAAACACAUUUUUCAACAUAUAAUAGAAUCAUUAUCAGAGGUGGACACAUUUAGAAGUUGUUCUUAAUCAGAGGGCAGCUUGUGCUUAGGAAAGCCAGCCUCAGUCCUCAGCACCCAGCACCCAGUGCUGCAGGUUUCUCCUGGGUGAAGAUGGACCAGCCCACCUUGGCCCUCCGGCAAGCUAGAACAAUAUGUACACGUCUCUCAAACUAUGAAGAGAAGAUUUGGGAGGAGUAUGAGAAAAUCCUCAAUACCAAACUAGCAGAGCAAUACGAGUCGUUUGUGAAAUUCACACAUGAGCAGAUUAUGCGACCAUGUGGGACAAGCCCAACAAACUAUGUGUCUUGAAGCUUUUUGUUGCAGAUCUCGGUACCAGGUUUGACCUCAAGGCAUGGUUGCUAUACAUUUUUUGCAACUGUUUGAUAUCACAUUUCAGCUCCAACUUUGCAUCCUGAGAACAUUCCAACGUUUCUGCAGGUCCAUUUUAUACGACUUGAAAGACCUUAAAACUUUCUGGUUGCCACAGGUAUAUCUUUCUUUUCUGUUCAUCCAGUAAAUAGUCAUACCCUACUGUGACAGAUUUUUCCAAACAAAAAUACCUGGAGCAGCAGUGUAGCAAAAUAUGCCUUCAGUGGCACUCAACAAAUGGAGUUUCCCCAAGCACAGUUCUGUAAGAAGUGUGUGUGAGAGUGUGUAUGUGUCUGUACAUGUACUUUAGAUUAUGGUUUGUAUUGUGCAAAUUUUUUUGAUCUUGGGGAUUCUGGCUGUGGAUUUGAUGCAGAAAAUUAUGGUUAAAAACUAUGGUCUACAGAAGAUACUUAAUGCUUUGUGACUAUAUAAAUUGUAACAGUGGAUUGUUUUAUGUGUAGGUAUUAUUGUUAAAUAUGGGGACUGUUCACCAGGCACAAAAUAGGAAUCAUAAAUUAGGAUGCAGGCUGGGUAUGGUGGCUCAUGCCUGUAAUCCCAGCACUUUGGGAGGAGGCCGAGCUGGGCGGAUCGCUUGAGGAGAGUUCGUGAUCAGCCUGGCCAACGUGGAGAAACCCUGUCCCUACUAAAAAUACAAAAAUUAGGUGGACAUGGUGGCGAGCACCUGUAAUCCCAGCUUCUCGGGAGGCUGAGGCAGGAGAAUCACUUGAACCAGGGAGGCAGAGGUUGCAGUGAGCCCAGAUUGUGCCACUGCACUCUAGCCUCGGUGACAGAGUAAGAUUCCAUCUCAAAGAAAAAAAAAAAAAGUGAAGAUGGCCAUUGGCUGUGGUUAUGACAAUACAGUGAAAGUCUGUUGUCUUAGAUAUACAAAUACAUAGUGAGAAAUUAGAACAAACUGGAGACUGGCCUUUGACACAUGGACUCUGCCUAGCUGUGUUAGAAAAAUAUUUAACUCCAAGCCUUAAAAUUCCCAAAUGGAGUUGGUGCUUACCUCAUUCACACAAUCCAAGAGUUCACUGGGUCCUGAACCUCUAAAGGGAAAAGGUCUCCCCUGGAGCAGGAGCAUCAGAGUUUGCUCGGGGGCAUAAGGUAGGUGAGUGCUGGGCCGAGGCAGGCUCCCCUGGCACUGCUAGUUGCAGGAGCACUUUACCUUUGUAUCAGUUACUAAAAACAAAAUUUGAAUCCUUUGGUCAGGUUCCCCCAAAUUAUUUUGAGGUAGCCAUGUUUAAGUGCUUGAGCUUUUGUGUUGGCAAACCCCUGCCCAAGGUUGCUAAUAGGGUAUUCUGCCCCUUGUUUCCACAGCUGAGGCACAGAAAGUAGCCUCUUUUGUGAGGAGUUGGGAGUUAAGUAUACAUUUAUUUUUUUACCAUGAUUUGUUCAGGACCACAUUUUACAAGAUACCUUGUUUCCUUUAUUAUUGUUUCUGGAAAGUCCUAUUCAUAUUAUUUUAUUUGAAUAUAGAAUAUAGUUUUUUUAAAUGAGGGCUUAUUUUGAAAAAUUCUGAGCUUAAUUCAAAUUUAUGCCAAUACCUUCCCAAAUAAGGUAAUAGUCAAAGACAGAUGUUCUGAUCAAAUGGCUUAGAGAUAGUCCUGGAAUAUUCAUAUUCAAAGAUUCCUUAUUAAUGAAUGUCUUUAACUUAAAUCUACCCAAUAAUUGCAACAUGGUUCUUUGUACAUUUUCAUUAUAUGGUGUUAACAAGCUUCACUGCAAACAAAUAAAUUACUUAAGUU